GGGGGGACCAGUUCUGUGGUAGAGCUCAUGCUUAGCAUGCACGAGGUCCUGGGUUCAAUUUCCAGUACCUCCG
rnacentral:tRNA from 1 species